GAACGCCGGCCAUUCUUUCGGUGUAGACACCAUCUUCACCAAUUGAGAGCAGUCGGUUGCAAACACCACCUCUGAGAUUUGUAGGGUCUUCAUGCACUCCAUCGCCCAUAUCAACGCUUCACAUUCUGCAUGUAAAGAUGAUAGACUCCUGCGAAUAGACAUAUCACCCAUCAUAGUAUCAGUUGAACCAUCUUUUUUGUAGACCCAUCAUUUGCCCGUGUAAGGGUUUUGUUCCUUCCAUGCU
rnacentral:lncRNA from 1 species